rnacentral:rRNA from 1 species
AGGAAAGAAAAGAUAAAAUCUAAUAUAUUUUAUCAUUGACGUUACUUGUAAAAGAAGCACCGGCUAACUCCGUGCCAGCAGCCGCGGUAAUACGGAGGGUGCUAGCGUUAAUCGGAAUUACUGGGCGUAAAGAGCACGUAGGCGGUUAAUUAAGUCAGAUGUGAAAUCCCUAAGCUUAACUUAGGAACUGCAUUUGAAACUAAUUAACUUGAGUUUCGUAGAGGGGGGUAGAAUUCCAGGUGUAGCGGUGAAAUGCGUAGAUAUCUGGAGGAAUACCAGUGGCGAAGGCGACCCCCUGGACGAAUACUGACGCUCAGGUGCGAAAGCAUGGGGAGCAAACAGGAUUAGAUACCCUGGUAGUCCAUGCCGUAAACGAUGUCGACUUGAAGGUUGUAAGUUUAACUUAUAGCUUUCGUAGCUAACGCGUUAAGUCGACCGCCUGGGGAGUACGACCGCAAGGUUAAAACUCAAAUGAAUUGACGGGGGCCCGCACAAGCGGUGGAGCAUGUGGUUUAAUUCGAUGCAACGCGAAAAACCUUACCUGGUCUUGACAUCCAUGGAAUUUAAUAGAAAUAUUUUAGUGCCUUCGGGAACCAUGAGACAGGUGCUGCAUGGCUGUCGUCAGCUCGUGUUGUGAAAUGUUGGGUUAAGUCCCGCAACGAGCGCAACCCUUAUCCUUUGUUGCCAUCAGCUAGGCUGGGAACUCAAAGGAGACUGCCGGUGAUAAACCGGAGGAAGGUGAGGACGACGUCAAGUCAUCAUGGCCCUUACGACCAGGGCUACACACGUGCUACAAUGGUAUAUACAAAGGGAAGCAUCCUCGCAAGAGUAAGCGGAUCUCACAAAAUAUAUCUUAGUUCGGAUUGGAGUCUGCAACUCGACUCUAUGAAGUCGGAAUCGCUAGUAAUCGUAGAUCAGAAUGCUACGGUGAAUACGUUCCCGGGCCUUGUACACACCGCCCGUCAC